rnacentral:rRNA from 1 species
UACGGAGGGUGCGAGCGUUGUCCGGAAUCAUUGGGCGUGAAGGGCGCGUAGGUGGCGGGACAAGCGUGCGGUGAAAGCUCGGGGCUCAACCCCGCGUCGGCCGUGCGAACUGUUUUGCUGGAGCACUGUAGAGGCAGGCGGAAUUCCGGGUGUAGCGGUGGAAUGCGUAGAGAUCCGGAAGAACACCUGAGGCGAAGGCGGGUUGCUGGGCUGACACUGACGCUGAGGCGCGAAAGCCAGGGGAGCGAACGGG